UUUUUAAUUAUGUCCAAUUAGCAGAGAAUGACACUAUUUUAUUGAUCUGGCUAGUGAGGGAGCAUUCUUUUUCCUUCAUCCAGGCAUAUCAUUAUCAUUGGACCUGGGACUGGUUGUGCUUCCUUUAGAUCAUUCGUUGAUGAGAAAUUGAGCUCAUCAGUUGUACCUGGCCAGCCUUGUAAGUUCUUUAUGACAGUACAAUGCCAUAGUGUCUGCUCAUUCCCUUUUGCUCCUACUUGUAGUUCUUUCUUUCUUACACUUCCUCUCUUAAUCCAUGUCUUAGUAAUGUUAUUCUUUGACUCACUCUCUCCUUUCUCAAGUUAUUAUUACACACAGGUCACUUAAUGUUGUUUUGGAUGUUGCUGAGAGAGAGCUGAUUAUUUCUUUAAAAGUGAAUGGAAGUCACUGCUUCAAAACUCCUAAAAUUUACUGCUUUUUCAAGAGAUCAAGAAAUUAAAGUAAAAUGUUCAAGAUACAAUCAAAGAUCAGAAGAGCUUGUGCGGGAGUGGCUUGAGAGGAUAAUGCUUAUGUCUUCAUUGCUGGGUGUUGUACUAGUCUUGGUCUUCCAUUACCAGUUCAGAAAGCAGCUAGCUUCCUUGCACUUGCAGGAAGCUAUUGAGCUUGACCUUGCUCCAGGGUAUGUUUAAGGUAUCAAUCAUGUUCAUCUAACACUUAGCUCAUGCCAUCAUUGUUAUUGGUGAGGUGAUGUCAAGGAAUAUUUUAUGCUUGAUUGCACUAAUGGAGUGGGCUAAAUCAAGAAGUAUAGGUUUGAAAGAUUACUUGACACUCAGAAAUCAGCAAGGCCUGCAUUCUUCUAAAAUCAUCAGGGCUUGACUCUAAUUUGAAAUUGAAAUUUAAAAUUAUUUUAUUUAUAUUUUACUUUUUUGGCAAAAAUUAAUACCAUUUGUGGUAUAAAAAUAAUUUUUUAUUGCAUGUUCAAAUCUCAGGGGCGUGGUUGACCUUGCC